GAUGGCCUCGCGUCCGAUUAGUUAGUUGGUGGGGUAAAGGCCUACCAAGACCACGAUCGGUAGCCGGACUGAGAGGUCGAACGGCCACAUUGAAAUUGAGAAACGGUCCAGACUCAUACGGGAGGCAGCAAUGGGGAAUAUUGGGCAAUGGGGGAAACCCUGACCCAGCAACGCCGCGUGAAGGAAGAAGGCCUUCGGGUUGUAAACUUCUUUGAUCAGGGAAGAAACAAAUGACGGUACCUGAAGAACAAGCCACGGCUAACUACGUGCCAGCAGCCGCGGUAAUACGUAGGUGGCAAGCGUUAUCCGGAUUUACUGGGUGUAAAGGGCGUGUAGGCGGUCUCGCAAGUCGGAUGUGAAAUUCCCGGGCUUAACCCGGGCGCUGCAUCCGAAACUGCGGGACUUGAGUGUUGGAGAGGAUAGUGGAAUUCCUAGUGUAGCGGUAAAAUGCGUAGAUAUUAGGAGGAACACCGGUGGCGAAGGCGACUAUCUGGACAGUAACUGACGCUGAGGCGCGAAAGCGUGGGGAGCAAACAGGAUUAGAUACCCUGGUAGUCCACGCCGUAAA
rnacentral:rRNA from 1 species